rnacentral:rRNA from 1 species
AUCCUGGUCGGACAUCAGGAGGUUAGUGCAAUGGCAUAAGCCAGCUUGACUGCGAGCGUGACGGCGCGAGCAGGUGCGAAAGCAGGUCAUAGUGAUCCGGUGGUUCUGAAUGGAAGGGCCAUCGCUCAACGGAUAAAAGGUACUCCGGGGAUAACAGGCUGAUACCGCCCAAGAGUUCAUAUCGACGGCGGUGUUUGGCACCUCGAUGUCGGCUCAUCACAUCCUGGGGCUGAAGUAGGUCCCAAGGGUAUGGCUGUUCGCCAUUUAAAGUGGUACGCGAGCUGGGUUUAGAACGUCGUGAGACAGUUCGGUCCCUA